UACGUAGGUGGCGAGCGUUGUCCGGAUUUAUUGGGCGUAAAGCGCGCGCAGGCGGUGCGGUAAGUCUGUCGUGAAAUCUCCCGGCUCAACUGGGAGGGUGCGGUGGAGACUGCCGGACUGGAGGCACUCAGAGGCCGGUGGAAUUCCCGGUGUAGUGGUGAAAUGCGUAGAGAUCGGGAGGAACACCAGUGGCGAAGGCGGCCGGCGUGGGGGUGACCUGACGCUGAGGCGCGAAAGCGUGGGGAGCGAACCGG
rnacentral:rRNA from 1 species